CCUACGGGUGACAGCAGUGAGGAAUAUUGGUCAAUGGGCGCGAGCCUGAACCAGCCAAGUCGCGUGAGGGAAGACGGUCCUAUGGAUUGUAAACCUCUUUUGUCGGGGAGCAAAAGACGCCACGCGUGGCGUUCCGAGAGUACCCGAAGAAAAAGCAUCGGCUAAAUCCGUGCCAGCAGCCGCGGUAAUACGGAGGAUGCGAGCGUUAUCCGGAUUUAUUGGGUUUAAAGGGUGCGCAGGCGGAAGAUCAAGUCAGCGGUAAAAUUGAGCGGCUCAACCUCUUCGAGCCGUUGAAACUGGUUUUCUUGAGUGAGCGAGACGUAUGCGGAAUGCGUGGUGUAGCGGUGCAAUGCAUAGCUAUCAUGCAGACCUCCGAUUGCGAAGGCAGCGUACCGGCGCCCAACUGACGCUGAAGCACGAAGGCGUGGGUAUCGAACAGGAUUAGAUACCCGUGUAGUC
rnacentral:rRNA from 1 species